rnacentral:rRNA from 1 species
AUUGAACGCUGGCGGCGUGCUUAACACAUGCAAGUCGAACGAAGUGGCGAACGGGUGAGUAACGCGUAAUCAACCUGCCCUUCAGAGGGGGACAACAGUGGGAAACGACUGCUAAUACCGCCUAAUGAAGGAGGGGAUUGCGUCGGAUUGGCUAGUUGGAGGGGUAACGGCCCACCAAGGCGAUGAUCAGUAGCCGGUCUGAGAGGAUGGACGGCCACAUGGGGACUGGGACACGGCCCAGACUCCUACGGGAGGCAGCAGUGGGGAAUCUUCCGCAAUGGAGGAAAGUCUGACGGAGCAACGCCGCGUGAGUGAUGACGGCCUUCGGGUUGUAAAGCUCUGUUAAUCGGGACGCGGUACCGGAAUAGAAAGCCACGGCUAACUACGUGCCAGCAGCCGCGGUAAUUC